GACGAACGCUGGCGGCGUGCCUAACACAUGCAAGUCGAACGGAGAAGUUCAGCAAUGGAUUUCUUAGUGUCGAACGGGUGAGUAACGCGUAGACAACCUGCCUCUAAGCUGGGGACAACAACUCGAAAGGGUUGCUAAUACCGAAUUUGAACAGCGUCUCGCAUGAGAUGCUGUCUGAUGGUGGCCUCGGAAUAUGCUACCGCUUAGUGCUGGGUCUUCGUCUGAUUAGCUAGUUGGAGGGGUAACGGCCCACCAAGGCGACGAUCAGUAGCCGGUCUGAGAGGAUGAACGGCCACACUGGGACUGAGACACGGCCCAGACUCCUACGGGAGGCAGCAGUGGGGAAUCUUCCGCAAUGGACGAAAGUCUGACGGAGCAACGCCGCGUGAGUGAAGAAGGCCCUCGGGUCGUAAAGCUCUGUCUUCAGGGACGAAUGUGCAGAUUGUAAAUAAUGGUUUGCAAUGACGGUACCUGAGGAGGAAGCCACGGCUAACUACGUGCCAGCCGCCGCGGUAAAAC
rnacentral:rRNA from 1 species